rnacentral:rRNA from 2 species
AGUCGAGCGAACAGAUGAGAAGCUUGCUUCUCUGAUGUUAGCGGCGGACGGGUGAGUAACACGUGGGUAACCUACCUAUAAGACUGGGAUAACUCCGGGAAACCGGGGCUAAUACCGGAUAAUAUUUUGAACCGCAUGGUUCAAUAGUGAAAGACGGUUUCGGCUGUCACUUAUAGAUGGACCCGCGCCGUAUUAGCUAGUUGGUAAGGUAACGGCUUACCAAGGCGACGAUACGUAGCCGACCUGAGAGGGUGAUCGGCCACACUGGAACUGAGACACGGUCCAGACUCCUACGGGAGGCAGCAGUAGGGAAUCUUCCGCAAUGGGCGAAAGCCUGACGGAGCAACGCCGCGUGAGUGAUGAAGGUCUUCGGAUCGUAAAACUCUGUUGUUAGGGAAGAACAAAUUUGUUAGUAACUGAACAAGUCUUGACGGUACCUAACCAGAAAGCCACGGCUAACUACGUGCCAGCAGCCGCGGUAAUACGUAGGUGGCAAGCGUUAUCCGGAAUUAUUGGGCGUAAAGCGCGCGUAGGCGGUUUCUUAAGUCUGAUGUGAAAGCCCACGGCUCAACCGUGGAGGGUCAUUGGAAACUGGGAAACUUGAGUGCAGAAGAGGAGAGUGGAAUUCCAUGUGUAGCGGUGAAAUGCGCAGAGAUAUGGAGGAACACCAGUGGCGAAGGCGGCUCUCUGGUCUGUAACUGACGCUGAUGUGCGAAAGCGUGGGGAUCAAACAGGAUUAGAUACCCUGGUAGUCCACGCCGUAAACGAUGAGUGCUAAGUGUUAGGGGGUUUCCGCCCCUUAGUGCUGCAGCUAACGCAUUAAGCACUCCGCCUGGGGAGUACGACCGCAAGGUUGAAACUCAAAGGAAUUGACGGGGACCCGCACAAGCGGUGGAGCAUGUGGUUUAAUUCGAAGCAACGCGAAGAACCUUACCAAAUCUUGACAUCCUUUGACCGCUCUAGAGAUAGAGUCUUCCCCUUCGGGGGACAAAGUGACAGGUGGUGCAUGGUUGUCGUCAGCUCGUGUCGUGAGAUGUUGGGUUAAGUCCCGCAACGAGCGCAACCCUUAAGCUUAGUUGCCAUCAUUAAGUUGGGCACUCUAGGUUGACUGCCGGUGACAAACCGGAGGAAGGUGGGGAUGACGUCAAAUCAUCAUGCCCCUUAUGAUUUGGGCUACACACGUGCUACAAUGGAUAAUACAAAGGGCAGCGAAUCCGCGAGGCCAAGCAAAUCCCAUAAAAUUAUUCUCAGUUCGGAUUGUAGUCUGCAACUCGACUACAUGAAGCUGGAAUCGCUAGUAAUCGUAGAUCAGCAUGCUACGGUGAAUACGUUCCCGGGUCUUGUACACACCGCCCGUCACACCACGAGAGUUUGUAACACCCGAAGCCGGUGGAGUAACC